UUUUGGCUAUGAUGAUUUACAAUACAGCUUAAUAUGCCAGUUCUGCUUCAGAGAAUUCUUGAUUGAGAAGCUGAUUUAACUUCUGAGCCUAAC